GACGAACGCUGGUGGCGUGCUUAACACAUGCAAGUCGAGCGGAGCGGCGAACGGGUGAGUAACGCGUGAGUAACUGCCCCCCUCCCUGGGGUAACAGUUGGAAACGGCUGCUAAUACCGGAUAGUGGGGGAUGACUCGCGUCCUAUCAGCUUGUUGGUGGGGUAUUGGCCUACCAAGGCGACGACGGGUAGCCGGCCUGAGAGGGCGACCGGCCACAUUGGGCUGAGAUACGGCCCAAACUCCUACGGGAGGCAGCAGUGGGGAAUAUUGCACAAUGGGGGAAACCCUGAUGCAGCAACGCGCGUGCGGGAUGACGGCCUUCGGGUUGUAAACCGCUUUCAGCCAUGACGCGUUACCAACAGAAUAAGCACCGGCUAACUUCGUGCCAGCAGCCGCGGUAAUUC
rnacentral:rRNA from 1 species